CAAAGGGGAGGGGGUUCACGUUUUUAAGAAGAAUAUUAUUAUUAGGGGUGGGGCCCGCACAACAAAAAAAAAAAAAAGGGAAAAUGAAAGAAAGAGGGAGGGAACACGUGACAAAUGGGGGUUUCAUUAUUGUUAUAAAAGGGAGAAUAGAUAUAUUAUAUAGAGAAAUAGAUAGAGAAGGAGAAAAUACACGGCCACAGGAAAACUCUCCAUCUUCAUUUUCAUCCCAAGAUCUAAAGCCAACCAUUUUCUUCUUUCCACAAAAAAAAAAAAAAAAAAAAAAAAAAAACUGCAACACAUAAGAAACCAUUACAACAACUUGUUUUCGACCAUAAUAGCAACAACCUAGAUCUUGAAACUCCAUAGUAGCCUCCUCUCCAAGAAAACGCACCAUUGAGUUCGUCGUUCCCGUUUGCGGUCCUCCGAUUAGUCGAUCUAGUCCAAUCUUAUAGAUUCAAAGAAACAGUUUGUUCACUUAAGUGUGCUCCAUUUGUUUCUUCACAUCAAAGUAGUAGUUGCCAUGGCAGAACAAGGAAUCAAGUUUGGAGAUCGUGGUUGGUUUGACUCAAAAAGGAACAAAUCAGGUCUCCAGCAGAUCAAUCUCAGUUUUUUGGAAGAUUUUAUCUACCUUGGGGAGCCCGAGGCGUAGAUUGGAUAUUUACUUUAGAUUGACCAUCUUGGAGUGCGUACGAGGUACAGACGCACAGUUUGGUGAUUCACCAGUUUAGGACAUCCCCUUCUGCUGUUUGGAGUGCUCUUCUCAUUUCAGAGCAUAUAUGUUGGUAUAUAUAUUUGUUCGCCGAGUAUGUAUAUAUAUUUGUUCAGGGGUACGGCGGGGUCCUAUCCCGCCAUAUGAUUCAGUUUGUUUGUUUAGAGGUCUGUAGACGUAGUUGUGGGUGUGUGUGCCUACUUCUGUUCCGAUGUGUUUGUAUGAUGCUAUUCGUUAUGGCAGCCUUGUCGGCGUGCAUUGAUAUCUGUGUUUUGGGCCGUUGUGCCAAUUGACAGCCUUGUCGGUUUUUGACAUAUUUGAUAGCCUUGCCGGCUUUUUGAGAUAUGUGCAUAUGUUCGGCGAUGUACAUUCCGCCGCCUCUUUUGAUUCUGA